AGAGAGAGAGAGAAAGUGUUUUCUCUCUAGAGUCUCUCCCCAUAACUCUUUUAACUUAGUUCACAGCCGCCUCCUUAUUCCGAUUCCGGUGACUGGUUCCUCCUUGGUUCCGGUCGCCACCCCUAUGCUCUGUUUCUUUCAGCCUCUCCCUUAACCUUCUCUCCUUACCCUUCUCCUCCUUGUACGGUGUUGCUGGAUUUUCUCCGAGUUUCUCCGUGUUUCGGUGAACCUAAAAGAGAGCGGCUUGCGUUUGCGGCUCUUCUGGAACACUGACGAGGAGCAGGUUUUGUCGGGGAGCUUAAGGUGCCUCUGAUUUCGGUCUCAGCUUGUCAAACAGAGCAGAUCUGGGUCAGAUCUGAUCUCGCCACAGCCGGAAAGGAUGGUGAAGCGUCGCUGCCUCCUCCUCCCCUCAUCGGCGCCGGCCUGUACAUGAAUGAUUGGCUGGUUCUAGUUUUGAAGGUCUCGUCAGAGCUUCUCCCCUCCAUCCGGAGAAUCGACGAUGCUAAGGCUCACCUUCGUUGAGAAACUCUGUUUUUAGACCAAAUCGACGACUUCCAUGACCGCAAAGGAGUUAGUUUGGAGCCUCCCCGUCUUGCUAUCUGUCACCGCUCCACUGGGUUUUGAGGACGACCCCUACGACGGUACUAUCGGCUUCAAGGCGAGUCUCCCUUCCUGUUUGCUGCUCAUGUUUUGAGGAGAGCCAUGUUUUCUCCUCCGGUGCUUCACUUCUCUACUCUUCACCGACGCAACCUCAGUGUGCCUCUCCAUUGUCUCAGCCAUUUAAACGUCGCAUGGCCGGUUGGAGAGCCAAAUUUACCGCCUGCGCUUGACAGGUCUGUUCUUCAUGUCAGGUGGAGUAUUGGCGAGUACAUUGGGGGUUUUGUUGUCGAGAAAGCAAAGGGUCUGGUUCUGCUCGAUGUCCUCCUCCUCUGGUGUCCCGGAGCCGUUGCCAGCCGCCUCCGUUGAAGCCGUUAGGAGCCACCCUCGGGUCGGUUGAAUUUAACUCGGGAGUAAUCAAUGGAACUCCUCUGUUAUGUUGUAUGCUUGAUCCAUCUUGCCUAAAAGAGCAUACAAUUUUGAUCAACUGAAAAAUUAUAGACGGCCACAGAGAUCACAAGGUGAUGUAUGAAGAACGUUACGGUGGCGUUAAUGGUGAAAAAAUUUCAUCGAUGGUACCGAACUUCCUGAUCCGACAUGUGCUGGCACGUGCAAAAUUUUAAUCUUUUUUUUUAACACGGGCAACGGUUUAAUCUAUUGUCCAUUUUUAGUGGGUUUAGUGGGCUGAUAUUAUGAUUGAGGAAUGGGCUAAUACAUAUAUGUACUGUUGUCUCAGUGAAAUUAGUAUUACCAAUAAAAAUAUUAAAUAACCUAA